UCGUGCUAGACGGGGAGCUAGCGGUGCCCUGUAACCCGAAAUCCGCUUAUGCGGGGUCGAAUGUCCUGCAUGAGAGUUCAUUGCCGGGUCGCUUUCCUGUCACCUUUGGAGUAGGGAUGGAGCUCACGUGACAGACGCUUGUGAACCCCGUCAGGUCCGGGAGGAAGCAGCGGUAAGCAAGGCAGUCUGUGUCGUGAUGGCAUCUAUCUCAUUGCUCUGAGG
rnacentral:SRP_RNA from 1 species